CCGGUGCAUACCGUAAUGUUAAAAUAAGUGCGCAAUUAUUUUGGGAAUAUAAUGCACGGUUUAUAAGCAAUCUCAAAUUCGUGUAUUGUGAUGGGGUACCACUGUUGAAUUUAAAGCUCAUGAGGCAUUUCUAGGUUAUAUAACAUUCACAUAUUAGCCAUCAUUGAGACUCACUUAGAUAAUUCCAUUCAUUAUAGAACAGUAGCAAUAAAAUUAUAUAACAUCUAUAUUGAAUCUUUAUUCAACUAGGCAAGUCAGAUAAAAACAAACUCUUAUUCAUAAUGACGCCUACACCGGCCAAACCCGGACGCUGGGCCAAUUGUGCGCCGCCAUAUAGGACCCCCAAUCACGGCCCGUUGUGAUACAGCCUGGAUUCGAACCAGGGUGUCUAUAGUUAUGCUUCUAGCACUGAGACCGCUGCUCCACUCGGGAGCCUGUAGAAGAGACAGGAAUGCUUAUGGGGAAAGUGUUGCUAUAUUUAUUCAGAACCAUAUCCCAGUAAUGCUUAGAGAUAGAUCGCAUGUCAAGUGUUACUGAAGUACGGUGGCUGAAGGUUCACCUGCUUCAUCUAAAGCCUAUAAUUUUGGGGCGUUGCUAUAGGCUAGCAGUUAGUAUCUGCAGUACCAGUCAAAAGUUUUGACACACCUACUCAUUCAAGGGUUUUUCUUUAUUUUUACUAUUUUAUACAUUGUAGAAUAAUAGUGAAGACAUCCAAACUAUGAAAUAACACAUAUGGAAUUAUGUAGUAACCAAAAGUGUUAAACAAAUCAAAAUAUUUUAUUUUUGAGAUUCUUCAAAGUUGCCACCCUUUGCCUUGAUGACAGCUUUGCACACUCUUGGAAUUCUCUAAACCAGCUCCAUGAGGUAGUCACCUGGAAUGCAUUUCAAUUAACAGGUGUGCCUUGCUAAAAGUUAAUUUGUGGAACUUCUUAAUGCGUUUGAGCCGAUCAGUUGUUUUGUGACAAGGUAGGGGUGGUAUACAGAAGAUAUUUGGUAAAAGACCAAGUCCAUAUGAGGGCAAGAACAGCUCAAACAAGCAAAGAGAAACAACUGUCCAUCACUACGUUAAGACAUGAAGGUCAGUCAAUCCUGAAAAUUUCAAGAACUUUUAACAUUUUUCUUUGAGUACGCGUGUCCAAACUUUUGACUGGUACUGUAUGUUUCCAAGAUGUAUUUUAGAAACAAUACAAAACAUACAAAUGACUACAUCAUACAAACAUCACUACAGCCCUCCUGCCCACUAGCCCCCACCCCUAUCUCUAGCACAUGGCCUCAAACUGCAUUUAAAAAAAAAAUCUUUGUUGAUAUUAUGGCAAGAACAGCUCAAAUAAGCAAAGAAAAACAACACUCCAUCAUUACUUUAAGACAUGAAGGUCAGUCAAUCCGGAAAAUUUCAAGAGCUCUAAAAGUUUCUUCAAGUGCAGUCACAAAAAACAUCAAGUGCUAUGAUGAAACUGGCUCUCAUGAGGACCACCACAGGAAAGGAAACCCCAGAGUUACCUCUGCUGCAGAGGAUCAGUUCAUUAGAGUUACCAGCAACAGAAAUUGCAGCCCAAAUAAAUGCUUCACAGAGUUGAAGCAAUAGAUACAGCUCAACAUCAGCUGUUCAGAAGAGACUACGUGAAUCAGGCCUUCAUGGUCAAAUUGCUGCAAAGAAACCACUACUAAAGGACACCAAUAAGAAGAAGACACUUGCUUGGGCCAAGAAACAUGAGCAAUGGACAUUAGACCGGUGGAAAUCUGUCUUUCUUGGGGACCUGAAUAUUGACUGGUUUUCAUCAAGCUGUCUGCUCAAGAGGAAGCUUCUCAAUGUAACCAGUGCCUGUAAUCUGGUUCAGGUUAUUAAACCUGAAUGCCAAGCGUUAAAUCUGGAGGAAACCUGGCACCAUCCCUACUGUGAAGCAUGGUGGUGGCAGCAUCAUGCUGUGGGGAUAUUUUUCUGAGGCAGGGACUGGAAAACUAGUCAGGAUUGAGGGAGAGAUGAACGGAGCAAAGUACAGAGAGAUCCUUGAUGAAAACCUGCUCCAGAGUGCUCAGGACGAUCAGACUGGGGCGAAGGUUCACCUUCCAACAGGACAACAACCUUAAGUGUAACAGGAUAGCGGGAGAUCGCGAACGUCAGGUCUUCCCAGUAUGGAAAUGUGAUACAAGGGAUUUUGCCAUCAACAGCCAUCAAUACCGUUAAGCCCUGCACAACUAACGUGCUGUUUCCCAUUUAACAACGGGUAUUUACACAUGUUAUAUUUUGUAUUAUAUUUUUGUAUUUUGUUCACUCAGUAUGAAAAUGUGAUGCAAGGGAUUUUGUCAUCGAUAGCCAUCAAUACCGUUAAGCCCUGCACAACUAACGUGCUGUUUCCCAUUUAACAACAGAAAUAAAUGAUGCUCAACUUGGACUACUGGCCGAAGUUAUUUAUUUUGAGAAAACACAACGCAUGGAGAGUACAUAUACAUAUGUUACAUAAACACACAGCCAAGACAAUGAAGGAGUGGCUUCGGGACAAGUUUCUGAAUGUCCUUGAGUGGCCCAGCCAGAGCUCAAACUUGAACCCAUUCCAACAUCUCUGGAGAGACCUGAAAAUAGUUGUGCAGCGAAGCUCCCCAUCCAACCUGGCAGAGCUUGAGAGGAUCUGCAGAGAAGAAUGGGAGAAACUCCCCAUAGACAGGUGUGCGAAGCUUGUAGCAUCAUACCCAAGAAGACUCAAGGCUGUACUCGCUGCCAAAGAUGCUUCAACAAAGUACUGAGAAAAGGGUCUGAAUACUUAUGUAAAUGGAUAUUUACUUUUUAAAAAUGUUUUAAAAUAAAU